ACGGGUGUGCAUGCAGAUCAUG
rnacentral:miRNA from 1 species